UAAAGGCACUCUUGACUUGUUUGCUUAUUUGGGACGGGACUUGUGGGACCUACGUGUGCACAUUUGUUAUGCUGUAUGAGCAUGAUCUCGUGCUGCAGUUGACUCAUGGGUAAUUAUUCUGCAAGAAUCUAGAUUUUCAUGGGGUUCCUUCUUGAUAUAGGAUAUCUUCUUUGGAACCAAAUUAGGGCCAUCCAGGAUCACAUCAUCCCCUCUUCUUCAAAAAGAUUCGCCCUCGAAUCUUGACCUUUCUCACAAGGGAAAAGAUUAGUGAUAAUAAUAGAAAUCACAUUAUACUUGUCUGGCUCAUUGACUUCAUCAUUAAUAUGGUUCAUGACUAGAAUCACACUUUCUCCUUGAUCAUGCAAGAUAUCAUCACUAGAAACAAAAGAAUUGUCAACUACAUAUGGCUCAACCGAGUGGUCGACUUCCUCUUCUUCUUCUCUAUCUUCCGUGAUGGGGUGCUCAACCUCUGUGGGAGCUUGAAUAUUAUCUUGAAUAGGAAGGUUCUCUAUGACAUUAUCACUU
rnacentral:lncRNA from 1 species